AAGUGAGAAGCAAUCCUUUGCAAUCAGUUUCGACCUGAUCUUAGAUAAUCCUAAACUUAUCCUUACUUU
rnacentral:tRNA from 1 species